GUGCUCGCUUUGGCAGCACACAUACUAAAAUUAGAAUGAUACAGAGAAGAUGAGCAUGGCCUCUGCACAAGGAUGACAGGCAAAUUCGUGAAGUGUUUUAUAUUUUU
rnacentral:snRNA from 1 species